AGGCAGCAGUAGGGAAUCUUCCGCAAUGGACGAAAGUCUGACGGAGCAACGCCGCGUGAGUGAUGAAGGUUUUCGGAUCGUAAAGCUCUGUUGUUAGGGAAGAACAAGUGCAAGAGUAACUGCUUGCACCUUGACGGUACCUAACCAGAAAGCCACGGCUAACUACGUGCCAGCAGCCGCGGUAAUACGUAGGUGGCAAGCGUUGUCCGGAAUUAUUGGGCGUAAAGGGCUCGCAGGCGGUUUCUUAAGUCUGAUGUGAAAGCCCCCGGCUCAACCGGGGAGGGUCAUUGGAAACUGGGAAACUUGAGUGCAGAAGAGGAGAGUGGAAUUCCACGUGUAGCGGUGAAAUGCGUAGAGAUGUGGAGGAACACCAGUGGCGAAGGCGACUCUCUGGUCUGUAACUGACGCUGAGGAGCGAAAGCGUGGGGAGCGAACAGGAUUAGAUACCCUGGUAGUCCACGCCGUAAACGAUGAGUGCUAAGUGUUAGGGGGUUUCCGCCCCUUAGUGCUGCAGCUAACGCAUUAAGCACUCCGCCUGGGGAGUACGGUCGCAAGACUGAAACUCAAAGGAAUUGACGGGGGCCCGCACAAGCGGUGGAGCAUGUGGUUUAAUUCGAAGCAACGCGAAGAACCUUACCAGGUCUUGACAUCCUCUGACAACCCUAGAGAUAGGGCUUUCCCUUCGGGGACAGAGUGACAGGU
rnacentral:rRNA from 1 species